GGCCCAGGCGCAGAAGAUCGGAAGUUCAAACCGGAAACUCAGCAGAGGAGAAUUAGCCAAUUUACAGAAAUCAUAUUAGAGCGAUUUAGAAUUUCAAAAAAAGCUUUCCGCAGGCUUCUGGAGAGGAAUGGUCUACUGGACACAGGAGACUGAAUGCAGGGGCUUGUGCAUGCCCCGACAAGUACUUCACACCCCUGACCUAAAUUCCCAGCCUUCUUUUUGUGGGAAAGGGGCUUACCAUGUUGUCCAGGUGGGUCUUGAAUUCUCUCUGUAGCCCAGUCUUUGCUGUUGUGUUGAAACUCCAAAGUGCUGACUCAGUCCCCGUUUCACUAGAUCUUUAGGCUUAAGCACAAGAAAGGGAUGAUAAGGGCUGUCUUCAGGAGGGGAUGGGCCAGGAAAGGAAUAGUCAGAAUGACUGAGGCACAUAAGUGAUUUUCCUCUGCCCUGAAGUUUCAUGAGAUCACAAUCAUCUUGGUCCAUCCAUGCAUGGCAUGAUGUCAGACACAGCAAAAUAAACACAUGGAAUUUCAAAAA